GCCGCCGUAGCUCAGCUGGCUAGAGCGACGGUCUUGUAACUUAGCAGGAAAACCGUAGGUCAAGGGUUCGAAUCCCUUCGGCGGCU
rnacentral:tRNA from 1 species